rnacentral:rRNA from 1 species
UACAGAGGUCUCAAGCGUUGUUCGGAUUCAUUGGGCGUAAAGGGUGCGUAGGCGGUGGGGCAAGUCAGGUGUGAAAUCCCGGAGCUCAACUCUGGAACUGCACUUGAUACUGCCUUACUAGAGUACUGGAGAGGAGACUGGAAUUUACGGUGUAGCGGUGAAAUGCGUAGAUAUCGUAAGGAAGACCAGUGGCGAAGGCGGGUCUCUGGACAGUUCCUGACGCUGAGCACGAAGGCCAGGGGAGCAAACGGG